rnacentral:rRNA from 1 species
UACGUAGGGCGCAAGCGUUGUCCGGAAUUCUUGGGCGUAAAGAGCUCGUAGGCGGUUUGUCGCGUCUGCUGUGAAAACCUAAGGCUCAACCUUGGGCUUGCAGUGGGUACGGGCAGACUAGAGUGCGGUAGGGGUGACUGGAAUUCCUGGUGUAGCGGUGGAAUGCGCAGAUAUCAGGAGGAACACCGAUGGCGAAGGCAGGUCACUGGGCCGCAACUGACGCUGAGGAGCGAAAGCAUGGGGAGCAAACAGG